ACCCUAUUUUGUAUGUUUUUCAUCGGAUGCAUUGAGAAUUCUAGAAUUUUCCCGUACAAAAUUAUAAAAGUGCGUCCACAUUUGAGUAAACUUACAUGAUUUAAUAAAAACCCUCGGUUCCACGGAUUGUGUUUAUUAAAGAUAAAUGCUGUUGACGCAGUUGCCAGGAGCGGUGCUGAAAGUAAAGUAGUUGAAAUAUAGGUGCCCUUUCUGAGAACAAUAUUUUUAAUGCAGUACUUAUAGGGAUGAUCACUUAAACUAUGGGUGGUAGUUAUUUUUACUGAAUCAAAUUACUAUAGUGUGAUACCAGUGAAUUGGCUUAUUCAAUCACUUGAAUUGGAGGAACAAUCAAACACUCUAACCUUGAUUCAGUUCAGUAUUGUCAAUGGCUACCAUUUAAAUUAACCUAUAUUGAGUUACUUAAGCCAGUGAUCUAUGCAUCUUGGGAGUUAUUUAAGAUC